GUUUGUCACGAAGUUUGUAACACCCAGAAGGAAGCGUCGGAGACCCUAUAAAGUAUAUAUAUAAAUGAUCAGUAUGUUGAGCUGAGUCGAUUUAGCCAUGUCCGUCUGUCUGUCCGUCUGUCCGUCUGUCUGUAUAUAUACAAACUAGUCCCUCAGUUUUUAAGAUAUCCUUUUGAAAUUUUGUAAACGUCAUUUUCUCUUCAAGAAGCUGCUCAUUUGUCGGAACGGCCGAUAUCGGACCACUAUAACAUAUAGCUGCCAUAUAAACUGAACGAUCGGAAUCAAGUUCUUGUAUGGAAAACUUUCACAUUUGACAAUAUAUAUUUACGAAAUUUGGUAUAAAUUAUUUCCUAAGGCACCAAUGUAAUAUGUGAAGGGUAUAUUAGCUUCGGUGCAGCCGAAGUUAACGUUUUUUCUUCUUAUUUUCACUUGUAA